GCUUGUCUCAAAGAUUAAGCCAUGCAUGUCUAAGUAUAAACGACUUUAUACUGUGAAACUGCGAAUGGCUCAUUAUAUCAGUUAUAGUCUACUCGAUAGUACCUUACUACUUGGAUAACCGUAGUAAUUCUAGAGCUAAUACAUGCAUCAAUACCCAACUGCUUGUCGGACGGGUAGCAUUUAUUAGAUUGAAACCAAUGCAGUCUUCGGGCUGGUAUUGUGUUGAGUCAUAAUAACUGUGCGGACCGUACUUUUGUGCGGUAAAUCGAUUGAGUUUCUGCCCUAUCAGCUUUGGAUGGUAGGAUAUGGGCCUACCAUGGCAUUAACGGGUAACGGGGAAUUAGGGUUUGAUUCCGGAGAGGGAGCCUUAGAAACGGCUACCACAUCCAAGGAAGGCAGCAGG
rnacentral:rRNA from 1 species